AUGCACGCUGGCGGUGUGCCUAAUACAUGCCAGUCGAGCGAACAGACGAGGAGCUUGCUCCUCUGACGUUAGCGGCGGACGGGUGAGUAACACGUGGAUAACCUACCUAUAAGACUGGGAUAACUUCGGGAAACCGGAGCUAAUACCGGAUAAUAUAUUGAACCGCAUGGUUCAAUAGUGAAAGACGGUUUUGCUGUCACUUAUAGAUGGAUCCGCGCCGCAUUAGCUAGUUGGUAAGGUAACGGCUUACCAAGGCAACGAUGCGUAGCCGACCUGAGAGGGUGAUCGGCCACACUGGAACUGAGACACGGUCCAGACUCCUACGGGAGGCAGCAGUAGGGAAUCUUCCGCAAAGGGCGAAAGCUUGACGGAGCAACGCCGCGUGAGUGAUGAAGGUCUUCGGAUCGUAAAACUCUGUUAUUAGGGAAGAACAAAUGUGUAAGUAACUAUGCACGUCUUGACGGUACCUAAUCAGAAAGCCACGGCUAACUACGUG
rnacentral:rRNA from 1 species